rnacentral:rRNA from 1 species
AGGACGAACGCUGGCGGCGUGCUUAACACAUGCAAGUCGAACGGUAAGGCCCCUUCGGGGGUACACGAGUGGCGAACGGGUGAGUAACACGUGAGCAACCUGCCCUUGACUUCGGAAUACCAGCUGGAAACAGCUGCUAAUACCGGAUAUGACCUCGACCUUCCUGGGUUGGGGUGGAAAGCUCCGGCGGUCAGGGAUGGGCUCGCGGCCUAUCAGCUUGUUGGUGAGGUAAUGGCUCACCAAGGCUUCGACGGGUAGCCGGCCUGAGAGGGCGACCGGCCACACUGGGACUGAGAUACGGCCCAGACUCCUACGGGAGGCAGCAGUGGGGAAUAUUGCACAAUGGGCGCAAGCCUGAUGCAGCAACGCCGCGUGCGGGAUGACGGCCUUCGGUUGUAACCGCUUUCAGUAGGGACGAAGCUAACGUGACGGUACCUACAGAAGAAGGACCGGCUAACUACGUGCCAGCAGCCGC